rnacentral:rRNA from 1 species
UACGUAGGGGGCAAGCGUUGUCCGGAUUUAUUGGGCGUAAAGAGCUCGUAGGCGGUUCGGCAAGUCAGCUGUGAAAUCUCCACGCUCAACGUGGAGGGGUCAGCUGAUACUGCUGUGACUUGAGUCCGGUAGGGGAGUGUGGAAUUCCCGGUGUAGCGGUGAAAUGCGCAGAUAUCGGGAGGAACACCAGUAGCGAAGGCGGCACUCUGGGCCGGUACUGACGCUGAGGAGCGAAAGCGUGGGGGAUCAAACAGGAUUAAGAAACCCUGGUAACGUCC